rnacentral:rRNA from 1 species
UAGGGAAUCUUCCGCAAUGGACGAAAGUCUGACGGAGCAACGCCGCGUGAGUGAUGAAGGUUUUCGGAUCGUAAAACUCUGUUGUUAGGGAAGAACAAGUUGGGUAGUAACUGACCCAACCUUGACGGUACCUAACCAGAAAGCCACGGCUAACUACGUGCCAGCAGCCGCGGUACUACGUAGGUGGCAAGCGUUGUCCGGAAUUAUUGGGCGUAAAGCGCUCGCAGGCGGUCUUUUAAGUCUGAUGUGAAAGCCCACGGCUUAACCGUGGAGGGUCAUUGGAAACUGGAGGACUUGAGUACAGAAGAGGAGAGUGGAAUUCCACGUGUAGCGGUGAAAUGCGUAGAGAUGUGGAGGAACACCAGUGGCGAAGGCGACUCUCUGGUCUGUAACUGACGCUGGGGAGCGAAAGCGUGGGUAGCGAACAGG